rnacentral:rRNA from 1 species
ACCCGCCUGGAUUAAGCAUAUCAAUAAGCGGAGGAAAAGAAACCAACAGGGAUUGCCCUAGUAACGGCGAGUGAAGCGGCAACAGCUCAAAUUUGAAAUCUGGCGUCUUUGGCGUCCGAGUUGUAAUUUGCAGAGGGCGCUUUGGCAUUGGCAGCGGUCCAAGUUCCUUGGAACAGGACGUCACAGAGGGUGAGAAUCCCGUACGUGGUCGCUAGCCUUUACCGUGUAAAGCCCCUUCGACGAGUCGAGUUGUUUGGGAAUGCAGCUCUAAAUGGGAGGUAAAUUUCUUCUAAAGCUAAAUACUGGCCAGAGACCGAUAGCGCACAAGUAGAGUGAUCGAAAGAUGAAAAGCACUUUGGAAAGAGAGUUAAAAAGCACGUGAAAUUGUUGAAAGGGAAGCGCUUGCAGCCAGACUUGCCUGUAGUUGCUCAUCCGGGUUUUUACCCGGUGCACUCUUCUACGGGCAGGCCAGCAUCAGUUUGGGCGGUUGGAUAAAGGUCUCUGUCAUGUACCUCCUCUCGGGGAGAACUUAUAGGGGAGACGACAUGCAACCAGCCCGGACUGAGGUCCGCGCAUCUGCUAGGAUGCUGGCGUAAUGGCUGUAAGCGGCCCGUCUUGAAACACGGACCAAGGAGUCUAACAUCUAUGC